ACAAAUGAUGAGUGACUUUUGAACUCUAUUAAAUGACCCAAUUUGUCUCUUGUAAUUUGGAAAACAAAAGAAGAAGAAGAAGAGAUGGAGGGAGAGGGAAGAAGAGAAAAUGGAGAUUGCUCUUAUCUCUGCAUCCCUUUUAGUUUCAUCCACGAUAUCUUCCGAUCGCUUCUCGUCAGGUUUCACAUUCUAGGAACUACUCCUGACAGUGAUAACUUUCCGAUAUCACAAGAAGAAGAGGAAGAGACAGAGGUUUUGAGUGUGACUUCGAGGGGUAAGCAGCAAACGAGUACCGGGAGGCGUGGAGGUACCAACUAGUCGCAUUCCUAGUUUCUUCUUCUUCCACGUACGUGUCUUCAUUUCAACAAAAGUCAACUUCAACUUCAAGUUGUUAAUAUAUAUGUUCAGACUUCGGAGAAAGUCCUUUUAAUUUACUUUACAUUCUCUUCUAAUGCGUAAUGUAUAUUGUUAUAAAUAUGUAUUUUCUUUUGCGUGAACCAUGUGAUCCUUGACUGUGUACAAUUCUGUUUGUAAAAUAUGAAAAGAUGAACCAAAAUUCUAUGAUAUAUGAAUGUUGUAAUAAUAAAAUAUUUUCAUGUGUUAAUAUUUCUACGAAUUAAAAUA